ACAGAGGUGGCAAGCGUUGUUCGGAAUUACUGGGCGUAAAGCGUGCGCAGGCGGUUCGCUAAGACAGGUGUGAAGUCCCCGGGCUUAACCUGGGAAUGGCGCUUGUGACUGGCGGGCUGGAGUACGGCAGAGGGGGGUGGAAUUCCACGUGUAGCAGUGAAAUGCGUAGAGAUGUGGAGGAACACCGAUGGCGAAGGCAGCCCCCUGGGAUGACACUGACGCUCAUGUACGAAAGCGUGGGUAGCAAACAG
rnacentral:rRNA from 1 species